rfam:Ornithorhynchus anatinus mitochondrial DNA, complete genome
AUUAAGGUGACAGAGACCGGUAAUUGUGUAAAACUUAAGCUUUUAUAGUCAGAGGUUCAAAUCCUCUCCUUAAUA